rnacentral:rRNA from 1 species
AUACGAAGGGGGCUAGCGUUGCUCGGAAUUACUGGGCGUAAAGGGAGCGUAGGCGGAUAGUUCAGUCAGAGGUGAAAGCCCAGGGCUCAACCUUGGAAUUGCCUUUGAUACUGGCUGUCUUGAGUAUGGGAGAGGUUAGCGGAACUCCGAGUGUAGAGGUGAAAUUCGUAGAUAUUCGGAAGAACACCAGUGGCGAAGGCGGCUAACUGGCCCAUUACUGACGCUGAGGCUCGAAAGCGUGGGGAGC